UACAGGGGGUGCAACCGUUGCUCGGAAUCAUUGGGCGUAAAGCGCACGUAGGCGGUCUGUUAUGUCGGAUGUGAAAGCCCUUGGCUCAACUGAGGAAGUGCAUCCGAAACUGGCAGGCUAGAGUACUAAAGAGGAUCGCGGAAUUCCCGGUGUAGAGGUGAAAUUCGUAGAUAUCAGGAGGAACAUCUGCGGCGAAGGCGGCUUCCUGGCUCAUUACUGACGUUCAGGUACGAAAGCGUGGGUAGCAAACAGG
rnacentral:rRNA from 1 species